rnacentral:rRNA from 1 species
AGUGAACGCUGGCGGUAGGCCUAACACAUGCAAGUCGAACGGCAGCGCAGUAAGAGCUUGCUCUUACGGGUGGCGAGUGGCGGACGGGUGAGGAAUACAUCGGAAUCUACUUUUUCGUGGGGGAUAACGUAGGGAAACUUACGCUAAUACCGCAUACGACCUACGGGUGAAGGCAGGGGAUCUUCGGACCUUGCGCGAUUGAAUGAGCCGAUGUCGGAUUAGCUAGUUGGCGGGGUAAAGGCCCACCAAGGCGACGAUCCGUAGCUGGUCUGAGAGGAUGAUCAGCCACACUGGAACUGAGACACGGUCCAGACUCCUACGGGAGGCAGCAGUGGGGAAUAUUGGACAAUGGGCGCAAGCCUGAUCCAGCCAUACCGCGUGGGUGAAGAAGGCCUUCGGGUUGUAAAGCCCUUUUGUUGGGAAAGAAAAGCAGCAGGUUAAUACCCCGCUGUUCUGACGGUACCCAAAGAAUAAGCACCGGCUAACUUCGUG